rnacentral:lncRNA from 1 species
GCCCGACAAGGGCCCAUGAUUGGUAUAAUAAAAUAAUGUCUAAUGUCUAUGGAAGUACUUAGUAGUCCAGAUAAUUAUGACGCAUUGCAAGGCAUUUUUUUCUAAGGAGAAGGGGGAAUGGAACCAAUAAAUUGAUCGGAUCCGAUAUGAUCUUCCCAGUAACGGAGCACCUAUUAACUUUGAGUAAUUAUAUUAGUGUCGGUGGUCUCACAAG